UUUUAGCUCGACUAUUCGAAGAAUAGUCUAGCUAUUCUACUCACCCUGGCGUCGGCGUCGGCGUCGGCGUCGGCGUCGGCGUCACACCUUGGUUAAGUUUUUGCAUGCAAGUACAUACAGCUAUCAUUUAAAGGCAUAUAGCUUUGAAACUUAUUUAUUCUUUUUCUAGGUCAAUUACCAACCUCACUGGGUCAAGUUCCAUAACUCUAACAUGUAUUUUGAGCAAAUUAUGCCCCCUUUUGGACUUAGAAAAUUCUGGUUAAAGUUUUACAUGCAAGUUACUAUCUCCAAAACUAAUGUAGAUAUUGAAUUGAAACUUCACAUGUGUCUUCGGGGUUAUAAAACUAGUUCAUAGCAGCUAUUCCUAUAACUCUGACCUUGUUUUUGGCCAAAUUAUGCCCCCUUUUGGACUUAGAAAAUUUUGGUUAAAGUUUUGCGUGCAAGUACAUACAGCUAUUACCAAAAGGCAUAUAGAUUUGAAACUUAUUUUUUCUUUUUCUAGAUCAAUUACCUACAUCACUAGGUCAAGUCCAAUAACUCUGACAUGUAUUUUGGCCAAAUUAUGCCCCCUUUUGGACUUAGAAAAUUCUGGUUAGUUUUGCAUGCAAGUACAUACAGCUAUUACUAAAAGGCAUAUGGAUUUAAAACUUAUUUUUUCUUUUUCUAGAUCAAUUACCUACCUCACUGGGUCAAGUCCCAUAACUCUGACAUGUAUUUUGGGCAAAUUAUGCCCCCUUUUGGACUUAGAAAAUUCUGGUUAAAGUUUUACAUGCAAGUUACUAUCUCCAAAACUAAUGUAGAUAUUGAAUUGAAACUUCACAUGUGUCUUCGGGGUUAUAAAACUAGUUCAUAGCAGCAAGUCCCAUAACUCUGACCUUCAUUUUGGCCAAAUUAUGCCCCCUUUUGGACUUAGAAAAUUUUGGUUAAAGUUUUGCGUGCAAGUACAUACAGCUAUUACCAAAAGGCAUAUAGAUUUGAAACUUAUUUUUUCUUUUUCUAGAUCAAUUACCUACAUCACUAGGUCAAGUCCAAUAACUCUGACAUGUAUUUUGGCCAAAUUAUGCCCCCUUUUGGACUUAGAAAAUUCUGGUUAAAGUUUUGCAUGCAAGUACAUACAGCUAUUACUAAAAGGCAUAUGGAUUUAAAACUUAUUUUUUCUUUUUCUAGAUCAAUUACCUACCUCACUGGGUCAAGUCCCAUAACUCUGACAUGUAUUUUGGGCAAAUUAUGCCCCCUUUUGGACUUAGAAAAUUCUGGUUAAAGUUUUACAUGCAAGUUACUAUCUCCAAAACUAAUAUAGAUAUUGAAUUGAAACUUCACAUGUGUCUUCGGGGUUAUAAAACUAGUUCAUAGCAGCAAGUCCCAUAACUCUGACCUUCAUUUUGGCCAAAUUAUGCCCCCUUUUGGACUUAGAAAAUUUUGGUUAAAGUUUUGCGUGCAAGUACAUACAGCUAUUACCAAAAGGCAUAUAGAUUUGAAACUUAUUUUUUCUUUUUCUAGAUCAAUUACCUACAUCACUAGGUCAAGUCCAAUAACUCUGACAUGUAUUUUGGCCAAAUUAUGCCCCCUUUUGGACUUAGAAAAUUCUGGUUAAAGUUUUGCAUGCAAGUACAUACAGCUAUUACUAAAAGGCAUAUGGAUUUAAAACUUAUUUUUUCUUUUUCUAGAUCAAUUACCUACCUCACUGGGUCAAGUCCCAUAACUCUGACAUGUAUUUUGGGCAAAUUAUGCCCCCUUUUGGACUUAGAAAAUUCUGGUUAAAG